UCCUUGUUCUCGCUCGUGAGGCGCCGAGGUGGGCACUCGCGGGCUGUUAGCUCAGAGCUCCUUCGCCAGGUCACGCCCGUAUCAUAGCCUGGUCUCCUCCUCCCUUUUCCCUCUUUUUUCCCUCAUAUAGUACGGCCGCCUCUUCCGUUGUGGUUCUCCUUGUCCUUGCCUCUUCGCACGCAUACAGGCACGCACCCUUCUCUUUUUCAGUGGUGAGUGCCUCACUGCAGAACAGCGGCCUCAGUGAAACCACAGUGUGCUGUUGCCCCUUCUGUGUCAGCGACACACCCCGCCACCCCCACCUCUCUCUCUCACAAAACUCGCUCACACACCCACACCUGAGCCAACAGCGACAAUGGGCUUCGGCACCGAUUUCACCGAAGAGGAGCUGGCAGAGCUCGAGAAGCUAGAUAGCAUCUAUGACAAGCUACUACCCAAGCGCAGUUCCGAGAGCAACAACGUGAGCUCCUCUUUCCUCUACAGGCUAGAUGAUCAUGGCCGAAUCCCGCUCCGGGACUUCUUUGUUCCUUCCGCUGGUUCCCCAUCAGUGGCACGGAUGCGAUCGAACCCACCCGGGAUCGCGGCCAAGUGGCAAACGAUGCUGCGUGAGAUGAACGGCGAGAUGGUGGUGCGCAGCGGGCAGAACAUCCGCAACACACGCGCCGUCAUCAACCGUAUUCUCUCUUGGUCGAUCACGUUCCAACAAGCAGAUCGCGCAGCGGCGGCGGUGAGCCUCGGCCACGAUGGCGGGCGCGCCUUGGCGCGUGAGUGGGUUCGCGGCAUUGUCGUUUACUUUCAGGAGCGCAUGGACAAGCUGUUUGCCGAGCUGAACAUUACCGCACAGGAGGAUGCGUGUGUACAAGAACUUAAGUUGCCCGGGAUGGACGGAGUCGACCUCGUGUCGCGAUGUGUAGAGGCAGCCCGCACCGUCAUUACGCCCAUGCUGACCACAAGCCCGUACUUCAUCGGCAUUGUUCGAUGCUGCCGUGAGAUGGUGCUCGCACUUAAGGUGGUGCAGGGCCUUCUCUCCCACAUUUCAUCGCACACACGUCUCAUGCCAUCCUCAGCCAUGGUGACCACCCCGGAUGGGCGCCGCAACGCCCUUGCGAUCUUGACGCUCGGCGAAGACUUCCUCGAGUCGCUUCGGACGCCACUGUGGCUCUUCCGAUCUGUCCUGCUCUUUCUUGGCGCGCUAGAUCUUCAGCAGUCCCCGCAACGCGAGGCCACCAUCAGCGAGCAGCACCUCGACCACUCGAUUCACUGCAUUGCCUCCCUCGUAGCGGAGGUCGAAUCGAAGAGGGACAGCAGCGCCGCCGCAAGCCUGGAGGUGCGCGCGACCCUCGACGCACUCGUUCUUGGGCACGUCAAGAACGCCUGUCUAGCACGCUUCCCCCCAAGCAAAACGCUGGAGCUGCUCGAGCACGCGCAAGGUGUGCGGAAGGACGUAGCAGCUUCUGAGGCCGCCGUCGGCCCCCUUGCGCGCUGCAACCCAGUGCUAAAGCAGCUUCUAGUCGACUACCCCACGUUCGUGGAAUCUACAGCGAAGUUUGUGGAGCGCAACGAGAUGAGUGACUGGGGUAUCUCACUCAUGUUGGUGCAGCUCUUCUGCUGGGACGUGAAGACGCCUCCGGACUCGGCCGCACAAGCCAAGCGGCAGGUCAUCUAUCAUGUUCCAAAGCUGACGGGCGCGUUUCCGCAUGGAUCGACGGUGCUGAACGCCAUGGUGCGCGAAGCGCUGCAUCCGCUGCUCUCUGCGCUGUUCUCAGCGCUUCCAUCUGGCGUCAGAGGCUAUGGCACCAGUGGCGGCGCGAUCGGAGCCGAGACCUCCACUAGGGCUUCCGAUGGGAGCGCUGUGGCAGGACCGGGUCGCACGUCCACCAUAGACGGUUACGACGCUGGGCUUUUGCUUUACCCCUCUGAGCAGAAAGUCUGUGCUGCGCUUCUCACGCUGGCGACGUGGCUGCAGGGCCUCUCUUUUCCGGCGGGGUCCCGCAUGCAGAGAUGGGCCUCUCUGGAUGUGGGCGACCAAAUCAUGCGGGAGUUCAAUCUCGGUGAGGGCUGCUUUACGAGUGUGCUGGGCGAGGUGCUACACGAUGUGAUCGCCAACGCUCUAGAUCAGGUCGAGAACGACUGCAAACACAGCUGCGCUACCAGGGUGGUCACCGCUGUCGAGACGGACGACUCUGUGUCCAGACUGAGCACGGCGGUACUGCAGUACCUGCGCCGUGUCGAGCGCAUCUGGAACGCUGUAACGGAGCCCUCCCUUGAGCUGCACCUGUCUGCCUUCGACGAUGUUUUUGCGAUCGGUGCUAAGACACUGCCUUCGGUUGCCGCCGCGUCGACCUUUGGCAUCGCUGCAGACGUCAGCGCCACCGCCGAGCGUGCCAGGUACGACACUACCCUGUUCGGGGACUGCAAGUAUCUCUUCUACGACACCGUGCAAAAUGUGAUGAGGGCGAGGUGGCCCGGUCAGUACGCCGAUAUGCUCACCGAUCCCUUACUGCAGAGUGUGCAUGUGUACUUGCUCCGAGCCGAGAGCGCAAGCCAGCGCGGCAGGGGACUGCGAUCGGUUGCCCUACGGGGGGCACCGGUACGAACGAUUGGUGCGAAGUGGCCAAACCCACCGCCGCAGCCAGCGCCAAAGGAACUCGCGCCUCGCCCGGUGAACACAGGCGCUGCAGCUGCACCCGCCCGUGGCCCGCCCCCCAGCGCGGCGGAGCAGGAUGCCGUGGUUUGCACAUCAAAGGAAGAGUUGCACAGCGCUCUCCGCAUGGUGCGGUGCAUCAAGAACCGAGACCUCUUUAUCAACCGCUACACCAUCACGGUACGGGAGCGUCUUCUGACUCGGCCGGCCCCCGAUGUCAUUUCCGAUGCCGAGCUGGAGAGCAACAAGAAGCGUCAUGAGCAAGAGGCAGAGCAAUUUCUCGCCACGUGGCUCGGCGAUGCAUCCCUGCUCAAGCCUGUCCGCGAGCUCCAUAUGAGUUACUCCGCGCAGAGCGAGCUCUUCGACCUCGCCUCAAAGGGCUCUGUGGGGGUGGGCGAGGCGCCGACCAAAGGCAUCAGGCUUGCCACCACCAUUCUCGACUGGCGUGUAUGGGGAAACAAAGAAGCGGCAUCAGCGGCAACUUCCUGUCAAGCAAGUGAGAGCGGUGCCGCCCCCGCUGCUUUUCCAACGUCUGCGGCAGAGCUGGUCGCCCGGGCCGGGCAGGCGCUCUCCAUGGCCCUGUCAGAAACAGCAACGUUACCCUUUCCGAAUGACGCUCUUGUGCACCUUCAAAAGGUGGAGCACGCGUACAACGAGAAGCACUCGAACCGCAUCUUGCGGUGGGACUGGAACGACCACGCGUACACGAGCUUCACCGUGUCCUACCCCAAAGAAGGCGGCCGUGUGACGACCAUUCACGGCACGCUCUUGCUGCAGCGACUCUUCCUCGCGAUUGCCGCGUAUGGCCGGGCCGGGGUGGAGUUGAAGACGCUAGCAAAACGAGCUGGCAUGGAUGAGCGGCGCAUCGCUGCUGUUCUGAGGCUGUGUCUCGACCGCGACAAGCUACUGGUUCGCAUCAGCAGUAGCAGCGAUGGUGCGGGUGAGGCAGCUCCGUCCGGUGGGGUACACAUUGCCCUCAACUACGACUAUACUCGGCCGCCUAGCCGCCCGCAUGGUGAGUUCACGUACUGGCCCAACGCCGAACGCCGCCGCGUGGCCGCUGGCACUGUGGAUGAGGACGCUACCAUCACGAAGCGGCGUAACAUGAUCAAGACCUCCAUCAUGCAGAUUAUGAAGCAUGUGCAGCGCAUCAAGCACGACGAACUGUACAACACGGUACGCGAGAAGAACGCAAAGGCGUUUGAUGUUACGGUGCGUAACUUCAAGCAAGAGAUCGAAGGGCUCAUCGGUCAGGACUUCAUGGCGCGUUCAUGCAAGGACUCGAACGUGUACGUGUUCCGUGCAUAGGGCGAUCGUGAGACAUGCAUGCAGCGCAAGUCAUUUUAGGUUGGGAGGGAGGAUGAGUGUCUAAACUCGCACUCUCCUCCUCAGGUAGGCGCCUCUUCAUGUUUCAUGUUCUGUUUCUUCUUUUGAGAGAUUGCACACACACGCCGCGAGUGACCGGUUCCGGGGCCAUAGUGUGCACUUUCUCUCGUUCCCUUCGUUAUUUCACCCUCUCCAGACACAUAUAUAUGUAUACAUGUGUGUGUGUGUAUGUCGUGUUACUCGCUGGGUGUAUUGAUUUGUUCUUUGUGUGCUCUGCUUCCUUUGCUUGAUUGUUCCGGUGUCUGCGUCCCUGCCUGUGUGGGUGUGAGCUGUGCCACCUAGCGUGCCACUUGUUUGCUGUUGUCUCCCUUCAUGGCUCCGACUCUCCCCCUCCCCCUCCUCUUACUGCUUUCUCAUCUCGUAUAUACAUGUGUAUGUGCGUGUGUGUGUGUGCCCCGCUUAAUGAUGUGUCUGUGUCGUUCCUCUCUCUCUCUGUAUCUACUGAGGAAUGUGUUGCCACGAGCAGUGUACCUUGUUGCUGCUGUUACUCUCGGUUUGGUCACACAUCGAUUUUUUUCCGGAGGGAUUCCUGUGAACGCAUCCUGUGUCCGCUUCUUGUUCUGUUCCAUGCGCCACUUUCGAUCUACGAGCUGGUGUAG
rnacentral:misc_RNA from 1 species